ensembl:lncRNA
CUGGGCUGUCCUAAGCCAAGUUUAAGCCACCAUUGGCACAUGUGAGACACAGGAAGUGAUGUAAAGAACUGCCUUUAUAUUUUUCAUAUCACUUCCUGUGAGAGGGAUUUGGUGGCUUUUGAGGCUUUUGUGGACUUGGGCGGUAGAAUUUGACUUGGAGGAACUCUGAUGCAUGGGUCUAGGUGAGACAGCUUCCCCGAAUGGCCAUGUGGGCUGGACAUAUCAUCUCCGGUGCAAUAAACUCCAGUGACUCCCUAUCAACUCCAAGAUCAAAUAUAAAAUCUUCAGGUAGGAGAUUUUAAAGCCUUCAUAUGCUAUCCACU